AGUGAACGCUGGCGGUAGGCCUAACACAUGCAAGUCGAACGGCAGCACAGAGGAGCUUGCUCCUUGGGUGGCGAGUGGCGGACGGGUGAGGAAUACAUCGGAAUCUACUCUGUCGUGGGGGAUAACGUAGGGAAACUUACGCUAAUACCGCAUACGACCUACGGGUGAAAGCAGGGGACCUUCGGGCCUUGCGCGAUUGAAUGAGCCGAUGUCGGAUUAGCUAGUUGGCGGGGUAAAGGCCCACCAAGGCGACGAUCCGUAGCUGGUCUGAGAGGAUGAUCAGCCACACUGGAACUGAGACACAGUCCAGACUCCUACGGGAGGCAGCAGUGGGGAAUAUUGGACAAUGGGCGCAAGCAUGAUCCAGCCAUACCGCGUGGGUGAAGAAGGCCUUCGGGUUGUAAAGCCCUUUUGUUGGGAAAGAAAUCCAGCUGGCUAAUACCCGGUUGGGAUGACGGUACCCAAAGAAUAAGCACCGGCUAACUUCGUGCCAGCCGCCGCGGUAA
rnacentral:rRNA from 1 species